AACGAACGCUGGCGGCAGGCCUAACACAUGCAAGUCGAGCGGACCCUUCGGGGUUAGCGGCGGACGGGUGAGUAACGCGUGGGAAUAUGCCCUUCUCUACGGAAUAGUCCUGGGAAACUGGGGGUAAUACCGUAUACGCCCUUUGGGGGAAAGAUUUAUCGGGGAAGGAUUAGCCCGCGUUGGAUUAGGUAGUUGGUGGGGUAAUGGCCUACCAAGCCGACGAUCCAUAGCUGGUUUGAGAGGAUGAUCAGCCACACUGGGACUGAGACACGGCCCAGACUCCUACGGGAGGCAGCAGUGGGGAAUCGUAGACAAUGGGGGCAACCCUGAUCGAGCCAUGCCGCGUGAGUGAUGAAGGCCGUAGGGUUGUAAAGCUCUUUCAGCUGGGGAGAUAAUGACGGUACCAGCAGAAGAAGCCCCGGCUAACUCCGUG
rnacentral:rRNA from 1 species